UGUGUAAUCAGUUGCUCUGUGCCUUCCAGUGGUGCAAGAAAAAAAUCAGCAUGACAAUCAAAUUCAAGUGUACUUAUUUUUUCAUUCUCAAAUGGCUGUUCUUUUGCUGCAUAAGUGUGGUCAGAGUGUUCAUCUAACAAGAGUUCUCCUUUGUCUUCUUCUGAUGUAAUAGAAAUUUCCUCAGAACGUACAAACUCGACCAGAGAUGUGUCAUAAUAGACCACUUUCGAGUUCAUCCGUCACCGGCAAAAACUCGUCAAUUAUACACGCCUUUAUGACGUCAUUUACCAGAUAGAGGGGCUCGCCUGUAUCCCUGCACUAUUUACGUUCAUCAAGCGUCUUAGUUAUCGUCUUUGUGCAGGAUAAACUAGAAAUAAUGGUUGCUCUGUAGGUACUUACUGACAUUUCCCUAAUGACAGCAGUGUUGAUUGUCAAUUUUGAGAAUUCAAUUUGCCGAAUAAUUCGUACAAUAUAGAAUUAUAGUUUUCCAACCACUCGCUCAACAUUGGAAGGAAGUGACGACGCCCCUAAACGCACAAAUGACGAUGAUAAAGGCGCGUAUAAUUGACGAGUUUUUUCCGGUGACGGAUGAACUCGAAAG
rnacentral:lncRNA from 1 species